AUUGCAGUAUGCAAUUAUACCUUUUUUAUUGGACUAACAUUAUAUUUCAAAGUUAGUCCAAUAAAAAAAGGUAUUAUUGCAUACUGCAAU